rnacentral:rRNA from 1 species
CCAGACUCCUACGGGAGGCAGCAGUGAGGAAGAUUGGUCAAUGGGCGCGAGCCUGAACCAGCCAAGUCGCGUGAGGGAGGACGGCCCUACGGGUUGUAAACCUCUUUUGCCGGGGAGCAACGGGCGCCACGUGUGGCGCCACUGAGAGUACCCGGAGAAAAAGCAUCGGCUAACUACGUGCCAGCAGCCGCGGUAAUACGUAGGUGGCGAGCGUUGUCCGGAAUGACUGGGUGUAAAGGGAGCGUAGACGGGUGUACAAGUCUGAUGUGAAAGCCCGCGGCUCAACUGUGGGAGUGCAUUGGAAACUGUAGAACUAGAGUAUCGGAGAGGCAAGUGGAAUUCCUAGUGUAGCGGUGAAAUGCGUAGAUAUUAGGAGGAACACCAGUGGCGAAGGCGGCUUGCUGGACGAAAACUGACGUUGAGGCUCGAAAGCGUGGGGAGCAAACAGGAUUAGAUACCCCUGUAAA